rnacentral:lncRNA from 1 species
AUGAAAGUAAAAGGCAACUGUGGGCAGAUUCAAUCCUCAGGGCCUGAAACCUGGCCCAGGAGCGUCUGGCCCAUGAAGUCAGAAGAGGACACAGCAGAGAAGCACAGCUGUCUACACCUCUUCCCUGGAUCCAAGCACCUCUCAGAACAUGGGCUUAUAUAUGGAACACAUGAAGAAGGUUGCCAAAGAAGAGCCUCCCUUGGGAACACAUCCAGACAGCACGUUCCUGCAAACUCCAGUGACCCUACAUUUCACAGCCAGGAAAAUAAUGGAGUCCCCAAACGAGGCAAAUUUCACACAGUGGACAUAGGGACAGAUGGGAGAGUGUCUCUGUUUCCUUUCAAAUCCAAAGAACAGAGAUACCUGAAAAAGACUCACUCAUCCACACACAAAGGCCAGUUCCCCCUGGGACUCCCACCUUCCUCUCCACUCUUGGAAGCAACUCUAUUUCCCUGCUCCAAAGUCUCUGCUUGCCGCCAGGCAAAGGGCACCAAAUACUGCAAGAUACUGAACAUGAAACGAACUCUUUUCAACGCUGCUGUAUUUAGGAUAGAAACAAACUAGCAUUGGAAAAUGUUAUUCCAAAUUUAGUUUGGGAUUUUGUAUAAAGCAUGAACAUGUGUAGAUAAUCAGACUCAAUGGCCUCUAUAUUAGGACAAAAUCUGUACGUUUUCCAUGGUUAGCAGAGAUGGGCUGACAUAAUGUAUUCAACUACUGAAAUUAAGGAUAGCUUGUUUCUGGGGAAAAAAAUCCGUUAAAGUCUUUUGAAUAUUAGUAAAUUAUCUGCAAAAUAGCAAUGUAGUGAACUUGGAUUUUUCCCUCUUUUAUGAGCUUCAGCUGCUUUAUUUCCCAUAAGUUGUUCAGGGUUAGAAGCACCGUGUUUGGGCUGCCGUGAAAAUAAGAUGGCAACUUAAAUGAGAAGAAAAACAUAUCCCAUAUUUCUAAGAGAAGCACAUUCUCGCUUGGAAAAGUCUUAGCAACCUAUGAUGCUUGACUCUGGCCCAGAGAAUGAAGGAUAGGUUAGUUCAGUUCACUCCCUCAGUCCUCUUUGCGACCCCAUGGACUGCAGUACACCAGGCUUCCCUGUCCAUCAC